CAGGUCACCAGGCGCCUGCAGGAAGUGAGGGCGGAAGUGACGCUCUUGGAUGUUGUCGUUCUCGUCACCGCUGUCUCUGGACCGAGAUCGGGGCCUGGCAGAGACGCAGAGGACAGCAGUGUUCCUCUGAAUCCUCCCUGUGACCUCACCAUCCCACCUGCACCUGAAGCAGGGCUGUACAUAGAAGAAAAAAACCCCAGAAACAAACAAAAAGAAAAAAAGGUCAUUCGGGCACCGAUUGUUAUCUCGGUCUCUCUCCUCACCCAAAACAACGCGGCGCUGUUAUCUAAUCGGGGCGUGUCCAUGGUGAUAACAGCUCACAGGUGGUUUUUAUGUCCACAGCCUCUGUGAUCAUCUUUUACUAUCCGGGCUUGCAUGAGUACACACCGUGUAUACAAGGUCAGAACAAGCAUGUGUUCCCUCUCAUUAACACUCAGAUUUUCUUUGAAUGAACAGUUAAACAAAGAACAGAGUGUGAGUUCAGUUCAUGGCAAACACUUGUGUAAAUAUGAGUCUCCUGGAAGCUUUUCUGGCCUGAAUCUGUGCAGAAAUGCGAGGGGCUGCAGCAGCAGGCGUGCCAGCCAGCAGCUGGAUGGAUAACUUUUAAAAAAGUACAGGUUUUGUUUUGUUUGCCCUUUUGAAUAUUGGAACCGAAUGGCUGAAAAACAUAUCACAAUAGAAGCGUUUCAGUCGAUAGUUAUAUUGGUUUGUUUUUUCUUUUGAAUAUCAGAAAUACUGUCAAACUGGUGACCUUUCCUGCUUUAUCCAGAUUUCACUUCAUGCUGUUGUUUUUUUAUUUUUAAGCAGUUUUGUGAAACAUGAAACUGCUGCUGCACUAGUUGUGCAACAAGUUGUUGCUAGGUAACCAACUACUGAGUGAGUUGAUGCUACCUCCCUUGCUUAGCUAGUCUCUAGAGGUUGAGCAGCUAAAGCCUUUAUUCUGCUUACAUCCCCCAGAAUGCAGUUCUGGAUUGUGUCUUUUGCCAUAUAUUUUACUGAACCCCAAAUUUACCCUUAAACACUUAUAAGUUUUCACAUUUUAGUCCUUUCUACUUCCACUUCUUACCCACGUGUACACCCGCAAGUAUUUUUAUGAAUACUAGUAUUCAAGUAUUUUAGGAAUUAUGGAAAUAAAUAAUUGAGAAAAUGUUCAAACAUCA